rnacentral:rRNA from 1 species
UACAGAGGGGGCAAGCGUUAUUCGGAAUUAUUGGGCGUAAAGGGCGCGUAGGCGGCUUUGCAAGUGGCGGGUGAAAUCCCUCGGCUUAACCGGGGAACUGCAUCUGAUACUGGAUGGCUUGAGUUUGGGAGAGGGACGCGGAAUUCCAGGUGUAGCGGUGAAAUGCGUAGAUAUCUGGAGGAACACCGGUGGCGAAGGCGGCGUCCUGGACCAACACUGACACUGAGGAGCGAAAGCCAGGGGAGCAAACGGG